UACUGCAGUCGAGCGAAUGGAUUAAGAGCUUGCUCUUAUGAAGUUAGCGGCGGACGGGUGAGUAACACGUGGGUAACCUGCCCAUAAGACUGGGAUAACUCCGGGAAACCGGGGCUAAUACCGGAUAAUAUUUUGAACUGCAUGGUUCGAAAUUGAAAGGCGGCUUCGGCUGUCACUUAUGGAUGGACCCGCGUCGCAUUAGCUAGUUGGUGAGGUAACGGCUCACCAAGGCAACGAUGCGUAGCCGACCUGAGAGGGUGAUCGGCCACACUGGGACUGAGACACGGCCCAGACUCCUACGGGAGGCAGCAGUAGGGAAUCUUCCGCAAUGGACGAAAGUCUGACGGAGCAACGCCGCGUGAGUGAUGAAGGCUUUCGGGUCGUAAAACUCUGUUGUUAGGGAAGAACAAGUGCUAGUUGAAUAAGCUGGCACCUUGACGGUACCUAACC
rnacentral:rRNA from 1 species